GACGAACGCUGGCGGCGUGCUUAACACAUGCAAGUCGAACGGAAAGGCCCUGCUUUUGUGGGGUGCUCGAGUGGCGAACGGGUGAGUAACACGUGAGUAACCUGCCCUUGACUUUGGGAUAACUUCAGGAAACUGGGGCUACUACCGGAUAGGAGCUCCUGCUGCAUGGUGGGGGUUGGAAAGUUUCGGCGGUUGGGGAUGGACUCGCGGCUUAUCGGCUUGUUGGUGGGGUAGUGGCUUACCAAGGCUUUGACGGGUAGCCGGCCUGAGAGGGUGACCGGCCACAUUGGGACUGAGAUACGGCCCAGACGCCUACAGGAGGCAGCAGGGGGGAAUAUUGCACAAUGGGCGGAAGCCGGAUGCAGCAACGCCGCGUGCGGGAUGACGGCCUUCGGGUUGUAAACCGCUGUCGCCUGUGACGAAGCGGGAGUGACGGUAAUGGGUAAAGAAGCACCGGCUAACUACGUG
rnacentral:rRNA from 1 species